rnacentral:rRNA from 1 species
AACGAACGCUGGCGGCGUGCUUAACACAUGCAAGUCGAGCGGUAAGGCCCUUUCGGGGGUACGACGAGCGGCGAACGGGUGAGUAACACGUGGGUGACCUGCCCUCAGCUCUGGGAGUAAGCCCGGGAAACUGGGUCUAAUACUGGAUAUGACUCCACGGUGCAUGCCGUGGGGUGGAAAGCCUUGUGCGGCUGAGGAUGGGCCCGCGGCCUAUCAGCUUGUUGGUGGGGUGAUGGCCUACCAAGGCGACGACGGGUAGCCGGCCUGAGAGGGCGACCGGCCACACUGGGACUGAGACACGGCCCAGACUCCUACGGGAGGCAGCAGUGGGGAAUCUUGCGCAAUGGGCGAAAGCCUGACGCAGCGACGCCGCGUGAGGGAUGACGGCCU